rnacentral:rRNA from 1 species
CUAAGAAUCUUCCGCAAUGGACGAAAGUCUGACGGAGCGACGCCGCGUGGGUGAAGAAGGCCGGAAGGUUGUAAAGCCCUUUUCUUGCUGAGGAAUAAUCACCGGAGGGAAUGCAGGUGAGAUGACGGUAGGCGAGGAAUAAGCCCCGGCCAAUUACGUGCCAGCAGCCGCGGUAACACGUAUGGGGCGAGCGUUGUUCGGAAUCAUUGGGCGUAAAGGGCGCGUAGGCGGCGAGGUAAGCCUGGUGUGAAAGCCCGCAGCUUAACUGCGGAGUCGCGCUGGGAACUGCCGUGCUUGAGUUCAGGAGGGGGAGCUGGAAUUCCAGGUGUAGGGGUGAAAUCUGUAGAGAUCUGGAAGAACACCGGCGGCGAAGGCGAGCUCCUGGCCAUGAACUGACGCUGAGGCGCGAAAGCGUGGGGAGCGAACAGGAUUAGAUACCCCCGUAGUCC